AACGCAUAUUGCGCCCUCUGGUAUUCCGGGGGGCAUGCCUGUUCGAGCGUCAUUACAACCUUCAAGCUCGGCUUGUGUGUUGAGCAUCUGUUUAUAUGAACAGGCUUGAAAUGCAGUGGCGGUGUCGGGUUUGGAGCCCGAGCGUAUGGGGCUUCGUCAAACGCUCUGGUGGCCCAGCUCACACUGUCGGUUAUACAUUACCACAGUUUGAUUGACCUCGGAUCAGGCAGGGUUACCCGCUGAACUUAA
rnacentral:misc_RNA from 1 species